rnacentral:rRNA from 1 species
AUUGAACGCUGGCGGCAUGCUUUACACAUGCAAGUCGAACGGCAGCACGGGGCAACCUGGUGGCGAGUGGCGAACGGGUGAGUAAUAUAUCGGAACGUACCCAAGAGUGGGGGAUAACGUAGCGAAAGUUACGCUAAUACCGCAUACGAUCUAAGGGUAAAAGCAGGGGAUCUUCGGACCUUGUGCUCCUGGAGCGGCCGAUAUCUGAUUAGCUAGUUGGUGAGGUAAAGGCUCACCAAGGCGACGAUCAGUAGCUGGUCUGAGAGGACGACCAGCCACACUGGAACUGAGACACGGUCCAGACUCCUACGGGAGGCAGCAGUGGGGAAUUUUGGACAAUGGGCGCAAGCCUGAUCCAGCAAUGCCGCGUGAGUGAAGAAGGCCUUCGGGUUGUAAAGCUCUUUUGUCAGGGAAGAAACGGUUGUGGCUAAUAUCCAUGGCUAAUGACGGUACCUGAAGAAUAAGCACCGGCUAACUACGUGCCAGCCGCCGCCGUAAUAC